CAAUAGCGUAUAUUAAAGUUGUUGCAGUUAAAAGGCUCGUAGUUGGAUUUCUGGGAGGGUGCCGCCGUCCGGCGUGUCCGUGUGCAGUGGCGCCCUUCCAUCCUUCUGUUAGCGUCUCUUGGCAUUCAUUUGCUGGUGGCGGGCUCAGAUAUUUUACCUUGAGAAAAUUAGAGUGUUUCAGGCAGGCUAGGCCGGAAUACAUUAGCAUGGAAUAAUGGAAUAGGACUACGGUCUCUUUGUUGGUUUGAGGGACUGCAGUAAUGAUUAAUAGGGAUAGUUGGGGGCAUUAGUAUUUAAUUGUCAGAGGUGGAAUUCUCAGAUUUGUUAAAGACUAACUUAUGCGAAAGCAUUUGCCAAGGAUGUUUUCAUUAA
rnacentral:rRNA from 1 species